GCAGAAUGCCGCAGCGAGACUCCUUAUGGGGUCCUCGCUGCAGGAUCACAUUCACCCAGUGCUAUACCAGCUGCACUGGCUCCCGGUGGAGUACAGGAUCAGGUUUAAGGUGCUGGUUUUAACCAGCCCUAUAAGGCCUAGGACCCUCAUACCUAUGGGACCGCCUCUCCUGGUAUGUCCCACGGAGGACCUUACGGUCUUCAAAUAAAAACAUCUUGGAGGUCCCAGGCCACAGGGAGGUUAGGCUGGCCUCAACCAGA